AGCGGCGGACGGGUGAGUAACGCGUGGGUAACCUGCCUCAUACAGGGGGAUAACAGUUAGAAAUGGCUGCUAAUACCGCAUAAGACCACGGUACUGCAUGGUACAGUGGUAAAAACUCCGGUGGUAUGAGAUGGCCCCGCGUUUGAUUAGGUAGUUGGUGAGGUAACGGCCCACCAAGCCGACGAUCAGUAGCCGACCUGAGAGGGUGACCGGCCACAUUGGGACUGAGACACGGCCCAG
rnacentral:rRNA from 1 species